UUACAACAGCCGUAGUUUAUUGGAUCUUGAUUUCCUACAUGGAUACCUGUGGUAAUUCUAGAGCUAAUACACGCAAACAAGCCUUGCUUUCGGGCGGGGUGCAUUUAUUAGAACAAAACCAAUCGGGUUUCGGCCCGUAAUUUGGUGAAUCUGAAUAACUCAGCCGAUCGCACAGUCUUUGUACUGGCGACGUAUCUUUCAAGUGUCUGCCCUAUCAACUUUCGAUGGUAGUUUAUGUGCCUACCAUGGUUGUAACGGGUAACGGAGAAUAAGGGUUCGACUCCGGAGAGGGAGCCUGAGAAACGGCUACCACAUCCAAGGAAGGCAGCAGGCGCGCAAAUUACCCACUCUCAGCACGAGGAGGUAGUGACGAAAAAUAACGAGACGGUUCUCUCUGAGGUCCGUCAUCGGAAUGGGUACAAUUUAAAUCCUUUAACGAGGAUCUAUUGGAGGGCAAGUCUGGUGCCAGCAGCCGCGGUAAUUCCAGCUCCAAUAGCGUAUAUUAAAGUUGUUGCGGUUAAAAAGCUCGUAGUUGGAUCUGCGGUCUCGGAAGCCGGUGCCCUAUCUAGGUGUCACUGGUUCUCCAGGCCUACCUCUCUGGUUUUCUGUUGGUCCUCUUUACUGAGUGCCAGCAGUGACCAGAACGUUUACUUUGAAAAAAUUAGAGUGCUCAAAGCAGGCGCGUAGCCUGAAUAGUGGUGCAUGGAAUAAUGGAAUAGGACCUCGGUUCUAUUUUGUUGGUUUUUGGAGCAGAGGUAAUGAUUAAGAGGGACAGACGGGGGCAUUCGUAUUGCUGCGUUAGAGGUGAAAUUCUUGGAUCGUAGCA
rnacentral:rRNA from 1 species